UACGAAGGGGGCGAGCGUUGUUCGGAAUGACUGGGCGUAAAGGGCGCGUAGGCGGUCCGUUGCGUCGGGCGUGAAAGCCCCGGGCUCAACCCGGGAACGGCGCUCGAUACGGGCGGGCUUUGAGUCCGGAAGAGGGUGGUGGAAUUCCCAGUGUAGAGGUGAAAUUCGUAGAUAUUGGGAAGAACACCGGUGGCGAAGGCGGCCACCUGGUCCGGCACUGACGCUGAGGCGCGAAAGCGUGGGGAGCAAACAGGAUUAGAUACCCUGGUAGUCCACGCUGUAAACGAUGUGCGCUAGCCGUCGGGCAGCUUGCUGUUCGGUGGCGCAGCUAACGCGAUAAGCGCACCGCCUGGGGAGUACGGCCGCAAGGUUAAA
rnacentral:rRNA from 1 species